GGUGAAUUCACAAUGGGUUGCAUACGUGUGGUUUAUGUAUUGUUCUUCUUUAUUUCAACCCAAGCAUUUUACCUCGCAAGUUGCUUAUCUCUUAAGAAACAAAACCACCAAAUUAUUGCAAGACAAGAUAAUGGCGAGAUAAAAAAUUCUUCCACUCGGAAUAACCCAGCAGCCACUAGAGCUAUCCAACUUCGACUAUUGAACGAGAAACAAUUUUUAAAUACAAUAACAAUAGUUUGCUUGAUCCUAGCGCUGACAGUGUUGCCUGCAAUAAUAUACUAUAAGGUCAUAUACCUUAUUUGGCCAGAAAUCAUGGAUUUACAUUUCACUGGGAAAAUUAUAAUAUCGCUGCUCAGGGUUAAUUUUACAGUCAACCCACUAAUAUAUUUGUGGCGUUUAAAAAAUUAUAGGAAGACAUUGAAAACACUUUUUAGAUGUCAAGGAUAGCAAGUUAUUUUUUUGUGGAGAACACAACGUAUAUUCAUUUGGCAAAGCUUUCUAUCCGUAAGCCUGGAAGACAAAAAGAUGAAUUAUAGGCUAUAUAUCGCCACGCAGCCCUGGCAUUUUAGACCAUGUUACACGAGGCAGUUUUUUUUUACAACUUGCAUGCGACGCAAUUUCAAACAUAGAGCGAUGCAGUGCAUGGAAAACACUAGCCAGUCCGACAAUUUAGUCCCGUUAAUAAUUUUUAUCAUUAUUCAUUUCUUUAGAAAUUGAUUGUUUUUACAGUCAAUGAACACGAAAAUAUUUGCAUAGCGGGACUAAAUCGUCGGGCUAAGUGAAAAAGUAUAAGGGACGGACCAUUAGAAAGGUGAUAUGGGGGGGGGGGCAAAACCAAAAAAAAAUUUAUUCCCAGAAAAAAAUUAGGGGAAAAAAUCUUCCCAGGCAUAGUGCAAAAAAAAAGAUUCCUACCUUGGAAGAUAAGACUUUAAAUUUCACUUAAAAAUUUCCAGCGUCAAGUGAGAAAAAAAUAUAUUUCUUUUAUAGGUGUACACAAAAUAUAUAUAUUGCCUCUUAGAAAAUCCCCCCCCCCAUCACUUUUCUAAUGGUCCGUCCCUAAGUUAAGUAUAAGUCCCGUUAAAUGAAAAAGUAUAUUUAAGAGUAACGGUCAUUGAGCAUGGGCUGUAUUACAUUCUCAUUCAUUUAUUUCAUGCCUUUGCGGUAUGAUACAUGAGACGGUGAACAGAUUCUGCAUGACGUCAGAAAUUGCGUUGCAAAUUGCAACUUGCAUCAAGAAUUGCCUCGUAUAACAUAGCCUUGUCAGCAACAUGUUAAAAAGUAAGAUGACCGAAAUUGCACAACGGCAAACAUCUACUAGCUUACAUUGUAGAUGAACCCCCCCCCCAGCUCCAUUUAGUACUGUUACUUUACAAUUGUCCUAAAACGUCAAGCCUCUUGCCCGAUAACAUUAAUAAAGUGAUGUUUGUUGAAGUUGUCUAGUUAACUAAAAUUAAAUAAAAAAUAAUUAAAGACUAUAUACAAAAGUCUGCAUGCAUGCCAGUAUUUUAAUUAAAACCUAUUUAUACUUACAAUAAAUUACAC